rnacentral:rRNA from 1 species
UACAGAGGUCUCAAGCGUUGUUCGGAUUCAUUGGGCGUAAAGGGUGUGUAGGUGGCGCCGUAAGUCGGGUGUGAAAUUUCGGAGCUUAACUCCGAAACUGCAUUCGAUACUGCGGUGCUUGAGGACUGGAGAGGAGACUGGAAUUCAUGGUGUAGCAGUGAAAUGCGUACGAGAUCAUGAGGAAGACCAGUGGCGAAGGCGGGUCUCUGGACAGUUCCUGACACUGAGACACGAAGGCCAGGGGAGCAAACGGG